AGGGGAGGCCGGAUCCUGGGCUGUGUCCCGGCGCCCUGUGCUCCGGAGCCUGCGCUGUUGGAUUCCGCUCCCGCUCCGCAGCCCCCU
rnacentral:pre_miRNA from 1 species